rnacentral:rRNA from 1 species
GUAAGCGCGCGCAGGCGGCUAUUUAAGUUGGAUGUGAAAGCCUAGGCUGCCGUAGAACUGCAUCCAAAACUAUUUAGCUAGAGUGUGGGAGAGGAAGAUGGAAUUAGUUGUGUAGGGGUAAAAUCCGUAGAGAUAACUAGGAAUACCAAAAGCGAAGGCAAUCUUCUGGAACACUACUGACGCUGAGGCGCGAAAGCGUGGGGAGCAAACAGGAUUAGAUACCCUGGUAGUCCACGCAGUAAACGAUGAAUGUUAGUCGUCGGGUAGCUAGUCUAUUCGGUGAUGCAGCUAACGCAUUAAACAUUCCGCCUGGGGAGUACGGUCGCAAGAUUAAAACUCAAAGGAAUAGACGGGGACCCGCACAAGUGGUGGAGCAUGUGGUUUAAUUCGAAGAUACGCGAAGAACCUUACCUAGCCUUGACAUAUUUUAGAAUCUUUCAGAGAUGAGAGAGUGCCUUCGGGAGCUAAUAUACAGGUGCUGCACGGCUGUCGUCAGCUCGUGUCGUGAGAUGUUGGGUUAAGUCCCGCAACGAGCGCAACCCUCGUCACUAGUUACUAACGGUUCGGCCGAGGACUCUAGUGAGACUGCCUUCGUAAGGAGGAGGAAGGUGAGGACGACGUCAAGUCAUCAUGGCCCUUACGGCUAGGGCAACACACGUGCUACAAUGGUUGGGACAAUGAGACGCAAUACCGCGAGGUGGAGCAAAUCUAUAAACCCAAUCUCAGUUCGGAUUGUUCUCUGCAACUCGAGAACAUGAAGCUGGAAUCACUAGUAAUCGUAGAUCAGCUAUGCUACGGUGAAUACGUU